UCCCUUUACUGACCCUUUGUCCUCAAAACAGCUGUUUCUGGGUCAAGGACCUUCCCCCAGGCCUGUGGAUGUGCACUGCCCCCCGGGUUAAGGACAAACCCUCCAAUGCAGAUUUUAUAAACCAGAGCAGCUGCCUGAAGGUUUCCAAGAGAAAAUUCUGCACAGUUUCUAACAAGGGUGACAGUUCCCGUCCACAGGAAGUUGCUUUUAUUUAUUAAGGGUUUUUUAAUCUCUUUUUUUGUAAGGCUCCAUCUAUCGGUCAUCAGGCUGCACCUUGGGCCCUGCGGGCAUUUUUGUUUUCCCCAGUUUGCCUGGAACUCAUGAUUACAUCUAAACCACAGUGGGCUUGCCCAACACAGGGGCAAAGUUGAACAGCUGAAAAGUGGGUCACUCACACGCCUGGGCAAAGAAUCCCAAGCAAUUUAUGGAGACACUCCCCCCCUCAAGGAGGGGGGAACAUAACUCCACCCCUUAAGUGGGCUCCACAUAAUGAUUUCCUUCCAAAGAGGCCAGUAUGGAAAGGGGGGAAGAAAGAGUGACUUUGCAGUGGUUAAACCGGAGAAGUGCUGUGUCAGCCCGGUGAUCAAGGUCAACAUCAACUGUGAGCAGUCAUGUUGACAGCUGCUACCCAUGAUAUGAUGUGAUGAGGAUAUCACUUUGCCUCCGUGGUCUUCCUCCCAAAACCCAUAACCCCAGCUGAACCACGAGAAAAACAUCAGACAGACCCCAAAUGACAGACAGUCUACGAAAUGCCAGACCAGGACUCCAUCAAAAACAGGGAAAGUCUUGGGGCUGGCCCCGUGGCGGAGUGGUUAAGUUCCCGCGCUCCGCUGCAGGCAGCCCAGUGUUUCGUUGGUUCGAAUCCUGGGCGCGGACAUGGCGCUGCUCAUCAAACCACGCUGAGGCAGCGUCCCACGUGCCACAACUAGAAGGACCCACGACGAAGAAUAUACAACUAUGCACCGGGGGGCUUUGGGGAGAAAAAGGAAAAAAAUAAAAUCUUUAAAAAAGUAAACUAAA
rnacentral:lncRNA from 1 species